rnacentral:rRNA from 1 species
ACGGAAGGCAGCAGUGGGGAAUAUUGGGCAAUGGGGGAAACCCUGACCCAGCAACGCCGCGUGAAGGAAGAAGGCCUUCGGGUUGUAAACUUCUUUUACCAGGGACGAUAAUGACGGUACCUGGAGAAAAAGUAACGGCUAACUACGUGCCAGCAGCCGCGGUAAUACGUAGGUUGCAAGCGUUGUCCGGAUUUACUGGGUGUAAAGGGCGUGUAGGCGGAGCUGCAAGUCAGAUGUGAAAUCCCGGGGCUCAACCCCGGGACUGCAUUUGAAACUGUAGCCCUUGAGUAUCGGAGAGGCAAGCGGAAUUCCUAGUGUAGCGGUGAAAUGCGUAGAUAUUAGGAGGAACACCAGUGGCGAAGGCGGCUUGCUGGACGACAACUGACGCUGAGGCGCGAAAGCGUGGGGAGCAAACAGGAUUAGAUACCCUGGUA